CCCUUAGAUGUUCUGGGCCGCACACGCGCUACACUGAAGGAGGCAGCGUGUACUCCUGGAUCGAAAGAUUUGGGUAACCCGCGAAUCUCCUUCGUGCUAGGGAUUGAGGUUUGCAAUUAUCCUUCAUGAACGAGGAAUUCCCAGUAAGUGCAAGUCAUAAGCUUGCGCUGACUACGUCCCUGCCCUUUGUACACACCGCCCGUCGCUACUACCGAUUGAAUGUGUUGGUGAGGAGCUCGGAUUGGCAGCGGUUGGUGGUUCGCCACCGGCCAUUGCUGAGAAGUCCUCCAAACCGCCCCAUUUAGAGGAAGGAGAAGUCGUAACA
rnacentral:rRNA from 1 species